GCGGGGAUAGCUCAAAGGUAGAGCUCCGGCCUUCCAAGCCGGGGAUGCGGGUUCGAUUCCCGUUCCCCGCUCCA
rnacentral:tRNA from 1 species